rnacentral:rRNA from 1 species
AGGAUGAACGCUGGCGGCGUGCCUAAUACAUGCAAGUCGAGCGGUAACACUUCGGGUGACGAGCGGCGGACGGCUGAGUAACACGUAGGAACGUACCCCAAAGUGAGGGAUAAGCACCGGAAACGGUGUCUAAUACCGCAUGUGCUCUUCGGAGUAAAGCUUCGGCGCUUUGGGAACGGCCUGCGCAUGAUUAGCUUGUUGGUGAGGUAAAAGCUCACCAAGGCGACGAUCAUUAGCUGGUCUGAGAGGAUGAUCAGCCAGACUGGGACUGAGAACGGCCCAGACUCCGUACGGGAGGCAGCAGGUAGGGAAUUUUCCACAAGU